rnacentral:rRNA from 1 species
GACGAACGCUGGCGGCGUGCCUAAUACAUGCAAGUCGAGCGGAGUUUUUAAAAGCUUGCUUUUAAAAACUCAGCGGCGGACGGGUGAGUAACACGUGGGCAACCUGCCCUGUAGACUGGGAUAACUUCGGGAAACCGAAGCUAAUACCGGAUAAUCAUAGAAGUUGCAUAGCUUCUAUGUAAAAGUUGGGUUUACCUAACACUACAGGAUGGGCCCGCGUCGCAUUAGCUAGUUGGUAAGGUAACGGCUUACCAAGGCGACGAUGCGUAGCCGACCUGAGAGGGUGAUCGGCCACACUGGGACUGAGACACGGCCCAGACUCCUACGGGAGGCAGCAGUAGGGAAUCUUCCGCAAUGGACGAAAGUCUGACGGAGCAACGCCGCGUGAGCGAUGAAAGGCCUUUCGGGUCGUAAAGCUCUGU